ACGAACGCUGGCGGCGUGCCUAAUACCUGCAAGUAGAGCGCUGAAGGAGGAGCUUGCUUCUCUGGAUGAGUUGCGAACGGGUGAGUAACGCGUAGGUAACCUGCCUGGUAGCGGGGGAUAACUAUUGGAAACGAUAGCUAAUACCGCAUAAUAGCAGUUAUUGCAUGAUAACUGUUUGAAAGGUGCAAUUGCACCACUACCAGAUGGACCUGCGUUGUAUUAGCUAGUUGGUGGGGUAACGGCUCACCAAGGCGACGAUACAUAGCCGACCUGAGAGGGUGAUCGGCCACACUGGGACUGAGACACGGCCCAGGCUCCUACGGGAGGCAGCAGUAGGGAAUCUUCGGCAAUGGACGGAAGUCUGACCGAGCAACGCCGCGUGAGUGAAGAAGGUUUUCGGAUCGUAAAGCUCUGUUGUAAGAGAAGAACGAGUGUGAGAGUGGAAAGUUCACACUGUGACGGUAUCUUACCAGAAAGGGACGGCUAACUACGUG
rnacentral:rRNA from 1 species